rnacentral:rRNA from 1 species
AACUCAAAGGAAUUGACGGGGGCCCGCACAAGCGGUGGAGUAUGUGGUUUAAUUCGAUGCAACGCGAAGAACCUUACCUGGCCUUGACAUGUCGAGAACUUUCCAGAGAUGGAUUGGUGCCUUCGGGAACUCGAACACAGGUGCUGCAUGGCUGUCAUCAGCUCGUGUCGUGAGAAGUUGGGUUAAGUCCCGCAACGAGCGCAACCCUUGUCCUUAGUUGCCAGCACGUAAUGGUGGGAACUCUAAGGAGACCGCCGGUGACAAACCGGAGGAAGGUGGGGAUGGCGUCAAGUCAUCAUGGCCCUUACGGCCAGGGCUACACACGUACUACAAUGGUAGGGACAGAGGGCUGCAAGCCGGCGACGGUAAGCCAAUCCCAGAAACCCUAUCUCAGUCCGGAUUGGAGUCUGCAACUCGACUCCAUGAAGUCGGAAUCGCUAGUAAUCGCAGAUCAGCAUUGCUGCGGUGAAUACGUUCCCGGGCCUUGUACACACCGCCCGUCACACCAUGGGAGUUUGUUGCACCAGAAGCAGGUAGCUUAACCUUCGGGAGGGCGCUUGCCACGGUGUGGCCGAUGACUGGGGUGAAGUCGUAACAA